rnacentral:rRNA from 2 species
GGACUACCCGGGUAUCUAAUCCCGUUUGCUCCCCUGGCCUUCGUACUUCAGCGUCAGGAACUGUCUAGAGACCCGCCUUCGCCACUGGUCUUCCUUACGAUAUCUACGCAUUUCACUGCUACACCGUAAAUUCCAGUCUCCUCUCCAGUCCUCAAGCACGGCAGUAUCGAAUGCAGUUUCGGAGUUAAGCCCCGAGAUUUCACACCCGACUUACCGCGCCGCCUACGCACCCUUUACGCCCAAUGAAUCCGAACAACGCUUGAGACCUCUGUAUUACCGCGGCGGCUGGCAC